GAUUGUGGAGCGCGGCCUGCGCUCGAGGAGCUCUCACUAUGUCGAUCGAAAUCGAGUCCUCGGAUGUGAUUCGUCUUAUCAUGCAGUACCUGAAGGAGAACAGUUUGCAUCAGGCAUUAGCCACCUUACAGGAGGAGACUACUGUGUCUCUGAAUACCGUGGACAGUAUUGAGAGUUUUGUGGCUGACAUUAAUAGUGGCCAUUGGGAUACUGUUUUAUAGGCUAUACAGUCUCUGAAAUUGCCAGACAAAACCCUCAUUGACCUCUAUGAACAGGUUGUUCUGGAAUUGAUUGAGCUCCGAGAGUUGGGUGCUGCCAGGUCACUUCUCAGACAAACUGACCCUUUGAUCAUGUUAAAGCAAACCCAACCCGAGCGGUAUAUUCAUCUGGAAAACCUCUUGGCCAGGUCUUAUUUUGAUCCUCGUGAGGCUUAUCCAGAUGGAAGUAGCAAAGAGAAGAGAAGAGCAGCAAUUGCCCAAGCCUUAGCUGGGGAAGUCAGCGUGGUGCCUCCAUCUCGUCUCAUGGCAUUGCUGGGACAGGCACUGAAGUGGCAGCAGCACCAGGGGUUGCUUCCUCCUGGUAUGACUAUAGAUUUGUUUCGAGGCAAAGCAGCUGUCAAGGAUGUGGAAGAGGAAAAGUUUCCUACACAGCUGAGCAGACAUAUUAAGUUUGGUCAGAAAUCACAUGUGGAGUGUGCUUGAUUUUCUCCAGAUGGUCAGUAUCUGGUCACUGGAUCUGUUGAUGGAUUCAUUGAAGUGUGGAACUUUACAACUGGAAAAAUCAGGAAGGACCUUAAGUACCAGGCCCAGGAUAACUUCAUGAUGAUGGAUGAUGCUGUCCUCUGCAUGUGUUUUAGCAGAGAUACAGAAAUGUUAGCAACUGGGGCUCAAGAUGGCAAAAUCAAGGUAUGGAAGAUUCAGAGUGGACAGUGUUUAAGGGGAUUUGAGAGGGCACAUAGUAAAGGUGUUACCUGACUAAGCUUUUCUAAGGAUAGCAGUCAGAUCCUUAGUGCUUCUUGUGACCAGACAAUUAGAAUUCAUGGUUUAAAAUCUGGAAAAACCCUGAAGGAAUUUCGUGGCCAUUCAUCCUUUGUUAAUGAAGCAACAUUUACACAAGAUGGACAUUAUAUUAUUAGUGCAUGCUCUGAUGGCACUGUGAAGAUCUGGAAUAUGAAGACCACAGAAUGUUCAAAUACCUUUAAAUCCCUGAGCAGCACCGCUGGAACAGACAUUACGGUCAACAGUGUGAUCCUGCUUCCUAAAAACCCAGAGCACUUUGUGGUGUGUAACAGAUCAAACACAGUUGUCAUCAUGAACAUGCAAGGCCAGAUUGUCAGAAGCUUCAGCUCUGGUAAAAGAGGAGGUGGAGACUUUGUUUGCUGUGCCCUCUCUCCUCGUGGUGAAUGGAUCUACUAUGUGGGAGAAGACUUUGUGCUCUACUGUUUCAGCACCGUCACUGGCAAGCUGGAGAGAACUUUGACAGUUCAUGAGAAGGAAGUGAUUGGUACUGCACAUCACCCUCAUCAGAAUCUGAUUGCUACGUACAGUGAAGAGGGACUCCUAAAGCUCUGGAAACCCUAAUUCAACUUUUCUUUUUAAACUAGCUUGAAAGCAUAUACUUAAAUGAAGACAUAUUCAUGUGAUGCCUUUUUUUUUUCUUUAUUUUUCUUUAGGCCAGCUUUUCUAAGCAAAUUGUCUGAAUUAGUCACA